UACGUAGGGGGCAAGCGUUGUUCGGAAUUACUGGGCGUAAAGGGCGCGUAGGCGGCAUGGCAAGUCGGGAGUGAAAGGCCUGGGCUCAACCGAGGAACUGCGUUCGAGACUGCCAAGCUAGAGUGCGGAAGGGGCAUCUGGAAUUCCCAGUGUAGCGGUGAAAUGCGUAGAUAUCGGAAGGAACAUCAGUGGCGAAAGCGGCUUCCUGGACCAGCACCGACGUUCAGGCACGAAAGCGUGGGGAGCAAACAGG
rnacentral:rRNA from 1 species